GCCAGCCUGGCAUAGCGGUUUGAGUGUUUUGGACUAUGAUUCUGGAGACCAGCGUUCGAUUCCCUAUUUGGCC